rnacentral:rRNA from 1 species
GACGAACGCUGGCGGCGUGCUUAACACAUGCAAGUCGAACGGUAAGGCCCUUCGGGGUACACGAGUGGCGAACGGGUGAGUAACACGUGGGUGAUCUGCCCUGCACUUCGGGAUAAGCCUGGGAAACUGGGUCUAAUACCGGAUAGGACUCCUGGCUUCAUGGUUGGGGGUGGAAAGCUUUUGCGGUGUGGGAUGGGCCCGCGGCCUAUCAGCUUGUUGGUGGGGUAAGGGCCUACCAAGGCGACGACGGGUAGCCGGCCUGAGAGGGUGACCGGUCACACUGGGACUGAGAUACGGCCCAGACUCCUACGGGAGGGAGCGGUGGGGAAUAUUGCACAAUGGGCGCAAGCCUGAUGCAGCGACGCCGCGUGAGGGAUGACGGCCUUCGGGUUGUAAACCUCUUUCAGCUAUGACGAAGCGCAAGUGACGGUAGUAGCAGAAGAAGGACCGGCCAACUACGUGCCAGCAGCCGCUGUAACAC